GAUGAACGCUGGCGGCGUGCCUAAUACAUGCAAGUCGAGCGAACGGACGAGAAGCUUGCUUCUCUGAUGUUAGCGGCGGACGGGUGAGUAACACGUGGAUAACCUACCUAUAAGACUGGGAUAACUUCGGGAAACCGGAGCUAAUACCGGAUAAUAUUUUGAACCGCAUGGUUCAAAAGUGAAAGACGGUCUUGCUGUCACUUAUAGAUGGAUCCGCGCUGCAUUAGCUAGUUGGUAAGGUAACGGCUUACAAAGGCAACGAUGCAUAGCCGACCUGGGAGGGUGAUCGGCCACACUGGAACUGAGACACGGUCCAGACUCCUACGGGAGGCAGCAGUAGGGAAUCUUCCGCAAUGGGCGAAAGCCUGACGGAGCAACGCCGCGUGAGUGAUGAAGGUCUUCGGAUCGUAAAACUCUGUUAUUAGGGAAGAACAUAUGUGUAAGUAACUGUGCACAUCUUGACGGUACCUAAUCAGAAAGCCACGGCUAACUACGUG
rnacentral:rRNA from 1 species